rnacentral:rRNA from 1 species
CUGUGAUUAAUACCAAGCUUCCAGGAAAAGCCACUAAGCUUCAGUCUAGAGUCGACCGUACCGCAAACCGACACAGGUGGGCAGGAUGAAAAUUCUAAGGCGCUUGAGAGAACUCAGGAGAAGGAACUCGGCAAAUUGACACCGUAACUUCGGGAGAAGGUGUGCCCCGGUAGGUUGUAGAGCCUCGCGCUCGAAGGCCGAUGGGGUUGCAGUGAAAUGGUGGCUGCGACUGUUUAAUAAAAACACAGCACUCUGCAAACACGAAAGUGGACGUAUAGGGUGUGACGCCUGCCCGGUGCUGGAAGAUUAAAUGAUGGGGUGCAAGCUCUUGAUUGAAGUCCCAGUAAACGGCGGCCGUAACGAUAACGGUCCUAAGGUAGCGAAAUUCCUUGUCGGGUAAGUUCCGACCUGCACGAAUGGCGUAACGAUGGCCACACUGUCUCCUCCUGAGACUCAGCGAAGUUGAAAUGUUUGUGAAGAUGCAAUCUCCCCGCGGCAAGACGGAAAGACCCCAUGAACCUUUACUGCAGCUUUGCAUUGGACUUUGAACCGGUUUGUGUAGGAUAGGUGGGAGACUGUGAAACCGGGACGCUAGUCUCGGUGGAGUCGUCCUUGAAAUACCACCCUGAUUUGUUUGAGGUUCUAACCUAGGCCAGUGAAUCCUGGCCGGGGACCGUGCAUGGUAGGCAGUUUGACUGGGGCGGUCUCCUCCCAAAAGGUAACGGAGGAGUACGAAGGUACGCUUAGGGCGGUCGGACAUCGCCCAUAAAGUGCAAUGGCAAAAGCGUGCUUGACUGCGAGACCCACAAGUCGAGCAGGUGCGAAAGCAGGUCAUAGUGAUCCGGUGGUUCUGUAUGGAAGGGCCAUCGCUCAACGGAUAAAAGGUACCCUGGGGAUAACAGGCUGAUACCGCCCAAGAGUUCAUAUCGACGGCGGUGUUUGGCACCUUGAUGUCGGCUCAUCUCAUCCUGGGGCUGUAGCCGGUCCCAAGGGUAUGGCUGUUCGCCAUUUAAAGAGGUACGUGAGCUGGGUUUAAAACGUCGUGAGACAGUUUGGUCCCUAUCUGCCGUGGGCGCUGGAAAUUUGAAGGGGGCUGCUCCUAGUACGAGAGGACCGGAGUGGACGAACCUCUGGUGUACCGGUUAUGACGCCAGUCGUAUCGCCGGGUAGCUAUGUUCGGAAGAGAUAAACGCUGAAAGCAUCUAAGCGUGAAACUCGCCUUAAGAUAAGAUUUCCCGGAGUCUUGAACUCCUUGAAGGGUCGUCGAAGACCACGACGUUGAUAGGUCAGGUGUGGAAGCGCAGUAAUGCGUUAAGCUAACUGAUACUAAUUGCCCGUACGGCUUGAU